UACGGAGGGUGCAAGCGUUAUCCGGAUUCACUGGGUUUAAAGGGUGCGUAGGAGGGCAGGUAAGUCAGUGGUGAAAUCUCCGAGCUUAACUUGGAAACUGCCAUUGAUACUAUCUGUCUUGAAUAUUGUGGAGGUGAGCGGAAUAUGUCAUGUAGCGGUGAAAUGCUUAGAUAUGACAUAGAACACCAAUUGCGAAGGCAGCUUACUACACAGUUAUUGACGCUGAGGCACGAAAGCGUGGGGAUCAAACAGG
rnacentral:rRNA from 1 species